rnacentral:lncRNA from 1 species
CCAGGUGCCCCCAGGUGCGCCCAGGUGCCCCCAGGUGCGCCCAGGUGCGUCAGUCGCCGCCGUUGGCGCGGAUGGUGCGGCGGAUCCAGGCGGUGAAGGCGCACACCCGGCUGUACACACCUGGCUUGCCCUGCUGGCCGCACACCUGCAGCCCCCAGGAGACCACGCCCUGCAGGUACCCGUCACACACCAGCGGGCCCCCGGAGUCACCCUGCGGCGGGGGACAGGGGGACAGGUGAGAAAUGGGACAGGUGGGACAGGUGGGACAGGUGAGACAGGUGAGAUUGGUGGGACAGGUGGGACACAGGUGGGACAGGUGAGACAGGUGGGACACAGGUGGGACAGGUGUGGGACAGGUGGGACAGGUGGGACAGGUGAGACACAGGUGGGACAGGUGAGACACAGGUGAGAGAUAAGUGAGAAAGAUGGAACAGGUGAAAUAGGUG